rnacentral:rRNA from 1 species
GGAUGAACGUUGGCGGCGUGCCUAAUACAUGCAAGUCGAACGAAGACUGUAGUAAUACUGUCUUAGUGGCGAACGGGUGAGUAACGCGUGGGUGACCUGCCCCGAAGUGUGGGAUAACAGUUCGAAAGGAUUGCUAAUACUGCAUAAUAUCCAAGAGAUUAGACGCUUUUGGAUUAAAGGAGUAAUUCGCUUCGGGAGGGGCCCGCGUCCCAUCAGCUAGUUGGUAAGGUAAUGGCUUACCAAGGCGAUGACGGGUAGGGGACCUGAGAGGGUGGCCCCCCACAAUGGAACUGAAACACGGUCCAUACACCUACGGGUGGCAGCAGUAGGGAAUAUUAGUAAUGGGCGAAAGCCUGAACUAGCAACGCCGCGUGUGCGAAGAAGGCCUUCGGGUUGUAAAGCACUUUUUGAGAGGAUGAGGAAGGACGGUACUCUCAGAAUAAGUCUCGGCUAACUACGUGCCAGCAGCCGCGGUAACACGUAGGAGGCAAACGUUAUCCGGAUUUACUGGGCGUAAAGCGCGUGUAGGUGGUUUGGUAAGUAGGGCGUGAAAGCUCCUGGCUCAACUGGGAGAGGACGUUCUAAACUGCCAAGCUUGAGGAUGGUAGAGGGAGGUGGAAUUCCGGGUGUAGCGGUGGAAUGCGCAGAUAUCCGGAGGAACACCAGUGGCGAAGGCGGCCUCCUGGACCACUCCUGACACUCAGACGCGAAAGCUAGGGUAGCAAACGGGAUUAGAGACCCCGGUAGUCCUAGCCCUAAACGAUGUAGACUUGGCGUCGGUGGUUUAAUCGCCAUCGGUGUCGUAGCUAACGCGUUAAGUCUACCGCCUGGGGACUACGGCCGCAAGGUUAAAACUCAAGGGAAUUGACGGGUCCCCGCACAAGCAGUGGAGCAUGUGGUUUAAUUCGAUGCAACGCGAAAAACCUUACCCACCCUUGACAUGCCAGGAAUCCUAAAGAGAUUUGGGAGUGCCCGCGAGGGAGCCUGGACACAGGUGCUGCAUGGCUGUCGUCAGCUCGUGUCGUGAGAUGUUGGGUUAAGUCCCGUAACGAGCGCAACCCCUAUUGUUAGUUGCCAGCGAGUAAAGUUGGGCACUCUAAUGAGACUGCCGGUGAUAAACCGGAGGAAGGUGGGGAUGAUGUCAAGUCAUCAUGGCCCUUAUGGGUAGGGCUACACACGUGCUACAAUGGCCGGUACAAAGGGAAGCGAAGUCGCGAGAUGGAGCGAAUCCUCAGAAGCCGGUCGUAGUCCGGAUUGGAGUCUGCAACUCGACUCCAUGAAGUCGGAAUCGCUAGUAAUCGUGGAUCAGCAUGCCACGGUGAAUACGUUCCCGGGCCU